GGUUCCUUUAAGGUCAGUCCCGUGAGGCUGACAAGGAAGCAGAAAGUUUCGGGAAAUCCUGAUGUGAACCAAAUCUUUAGGUGUUGGAGAGAGCGGCUGCCUGCUUGCAAGGAACCUUGUGAGCAGGUUUUUUU
rfam:Thermoanaerobacterales bacterium 50_218 S_scaffold_148, whole genome shotgun sequence.